AUGGGCGAGGGCCUCUCAAGUGCCCAGCCCAAUGGACCACCUGAGGCAGAGCCACGGUCUCCUCAGUCCCCUGCCUUGAUGGCCAGCUUCAUCUUCUCCAAGGGCACUAAGAAGCUGCAGCUGGAGUGGCCCGUGUCCCCCAAGACCCAGGCUCACCUCCAGCGGAAUCUGGUGGCUGAACUCCGGAGCAUGUCAGAACAGCGGCCAUCAAAGAAGUCACCUAAGGCUCCCCCGCCUGUGGCCCGCAAGCCGUCUGUGGCAGUCCCUCCACCCGCCUCCCCCAGUUACCUCCGAGCUGAGCCCCUUAUUGCUCCUCCCGCCAACGGGCUCCCCCACACACAGGACAGGACUAGGGGAGCUGGCAGAGAACGGAGGUGUCGUGCAGCCGAAAUCAACCAUCAGCAGCUAAACCUCACCAGCCAGAUUGUGUGUCGAGCAGAAGGAUCCUUAAAGAUCUUCAUUUCUGCUCCAUAUUGGCUGAUUAACAAAACAGGGUUGCCGCUGAUCUUCAGACAGGACGAUGCCAAGACAGAUCCUGCAGGCCAGGUUGAGGAGCAUGAGCUGGCCUGGAGCCAGAGUCCUCUCUUAUUCUGCUAUGCUGACAAAGAGCAGCCAAAACUCUGCACGAUGAGAAUCGGAAGGGGGAUUCAUCCAGAAGGCAUGCUGGGCUGGUGUCAGGGCUUCUCUCUAGAUGGCGGUAGUGGUGUCUGAGCUUUGAAAGUCCUCCAGCAAGGAAACCGCCCGGGGCUGAUCUGUAACAUCGGUAUUGAUGUCAAGAAAGGCUGAGGUCGACGCACUGAUACCUGCAUGGUCAUCUUUGCCCCCCAUUACCUGUUAGAUAAUAAGUCAUCUCACAAGCUUGCAUUUGCACAGAGAGAAUUUGCCAGGGGACAGGGAAAGGCCAAUCCUGAAGGUUACAUUUCCACCCUUCCUGGUUCCAGUGUGGUGUUCCACUGGCCUCGGAAUGACUAUGAUCAGCUAUUGUGCAUCAGACUGAUGGAUGUUCCCGAUUGUAUUUGGUCUGGAGGCCUUGAAGUCAACAAGAAUAAUUCCUUCCAUAUCAACAUGAGGGAUACCUUGGGAAAAUGCUUCUUCCUACGAGUGGAAAUUACUCUCCGAGGAGCUAUGUAUAGAAUCUCAUUUAGUGACACAGAUCAGUUACCUCCUCCUUUCCAAAUUGACAACUUUUCUAAGGUCCCAGUUGUCUUUACUCAGCAUGGCGUAGCUGAACCCAGGCUCCAGACUGAAGUGAAGCCCAUGACUUCAUUGGAUUAUGCCUGGGACGAACCCACCUUGCCACCUUUCAUCACUCUGGCUGUUAGAGGGGCAGGGUCCUCCGAGAUCAACUGCAACAUGAAUGAUUUCCAGGAUAAUCGGCAGCUUUAUUAUGAAACUUUCAUUUAUAUUGCUGCUACAUACACAUUCUCUGGCUUGCAGGAGGGAACAGGCAGGCCUGUGGCUUCCAACAAGGCCAUUACCUGUGUGGAGCUUGUCUCGGAUGUCUCACUCAAGGCAAAAAGAGUCAUUUUAAAGAAGAAGGAACCAGGAAAGCGUUCUCAGCUAUGGAGGAUGACAGGAACAGGAAUGCUGGCCCAUGAGGGCUCUUCAGUUCCUCACAACCCCAAUAAGCCCUCAGCUGCCCGCUCCACCAAGGAGUCUGCCAUCUUAGAUAUUGCUGGUCUUGCUGCAGAGAGUGACAACAGAUAUAAGCCGCUGAUGCUAAGAAAGCCUGACUGCAGGCGAAGUACAACUCAGACGUGGAGUUUCCGAGAAGGAAAACUGACAUGUGGGUUACAUGGGUUGGUCGUCCAGGCCAAAGGAGGACUUUCUGGUUUGUUUGAUGGCACUGAAGUUGUUCUGGGUCCUGACACUUCCAUGGAGCUUUUGGGGCCAGUUCCACCUGAACAACAAUUUAUUAAUCAAUAAAUGAGACCUGGUUCUGGAAUGUUAUCCACCAGAGUCAUCCCAGAUGGACCAACUAGUGCACUCCAGAUUACAGAUUUCUGCCAACGGAAAAGUGACUGUUCAUAUGAAGUGGAUGAACUUCCUGUCACUGAACAAGAGCUGCAAAAAUUAAAGAAUCCAGAUACAGAACAGGAAUUGGAAGUGCUUGUGAGGUUAGAAGGUGGAAUAGGGUUGUCCUUAAUUAAUAAAGUCCCAGAAGAACUGGUCUUUGUACUAUACACAGCUGGCAACCAGUCACAUGCUUGAACUCAGCAUACAAGACAUACAGGUGGACAAUCAGCUCAUCGGCACCACGCAGCCUUUCAUGCUCUAUCUAUGUGACUACCCUGAGCCAUGACAAUGAGGUCAUUGAGACUGGACCAGCCGUGCAAGUCAACGCAGUGAAGUUCCCCAGUAAGAGUGCGCUGAGCAACAUCUACAAGCAUCUGAUGAUCACAGCUCAGAGAUUCACAGUGCAAAUUGAGGAGACACAGCUCCUCAAGCUGCUAAGUUUCUUUGGCUACGAUCAAGCAGAAUCAGAGGUUGAAAGAUAUGAUGAAAACCUCCAUGAAAAGACAGUCCAGCAAGGUGGAACACCAGUUCGAUACUACUUUGAAAAUCUCAAAAUCAGCAUUCCUCAGAUCAAGCUAGUGUGUUCACCUCCAACAAGCUGCCACUGGAUCUUAAGGCCCUAAAAAACACCUUGGGAUUUCCUUUGAUACGGUUUGAAGAUACUGUGAUUAAUGUAGAUCCAUUCACUUGGGUACAACCCUAUGAGACCAAGGAGUUCAUCAUCAAUGAUGUCCUCAAACAUUUCCAGGAGGAACUCCUCAGCCAGGCAGCUCGAAUCCUGGGAUCAGUGGAUUUUCUUAGCAAUCCUGUGGGGAUUUUGAAUGAUGUUUCUGAAGGGGUUACUGGACUGAUAAAGUAUGGAAAUGUUGGGGACCUCAUCAGAAAUGUUACACACGGAGUAUCAAACUCUGCAGCCAAGUUUGCUCGGAUAUUAUCAGACGGCUUAGGGAAGAUGAUGGACAAUUGGCAUCAGUCAGAGCGGGAGUACAUCAGGUACACGCAGCCACACGUGGCGAACACCUCGUAGCCGGCAUCCACGGCCUGGCUCAUGGUAUCAUUGGUGGAUUGACCAGUGUUAUAACUUCAACAGUGGAAGGUGUGAAAACAGAAGGGGGUGUCAGCGGUUUCAUAUCCGGCCUUGGAAAAGGGCUUGUUGGCACUGUAACCGACAGUGGCAGGCGCCCUGGAUUUUGCAUCAGAAACAGCCCAGGCAGUGAGAGACACAGCCACACUCAGUGGCCCCAGGACUCAAGCACAGAGGGUUCGGAAACCGCGGUGCUGCACAGGGCCCCAGGGGCUGCUUCCCCGAUAUUCAGAGAGCCAGGCAGAAGGACAGGAGCAGUUCUUCAAACUCACGGACAACAAGCAGGACGAAUUCUUCAUCGCCGUGGAGACCAUUGACAGCUACCACGUGCUCAUCGCCUCCAAAGCGGUUUACUUCCUGAAAAGUGGAGACUACGUGGACCAAGACGUCAUUUUCCUAGAAGUCAAAUACAAUGACCUCUACCACUGCCUUGUCUCCAAUGACCAUGGGAAAGUGUAUGUGCAGGUGACCAAGAAGGCCAUGAGCACGAGCAGUGGAGUGUCCAUCCCAGGCCCUUCCCACCAGAGGCCGAUGGUCCACGUGAAAUCUGAGGUCCUCGCUGUCAAGUUGUCACAAGAAAUAAACUACGCAAAGAGCCUCUACUAUGAACAGCAGCUUAGGCUGAGACUCAGCGAAAACCGAGAACAGCUGGAGCUGGACUCCCGAAGCCCCGGAGGAAAGAGGCCGGGCUCCAGGCUGACCUUAGAUGCGGAGCCAGAGUCGGCUCUAGGGAAUUUGUCAAGGAAUGAGGGAAAGUAA